rnacentral:lncRNA from 1 species
AGUUUAAUAUCAGGCCUUGAGACAAAAGUGACGUCACAACCACAAACAGCAGCCACAUGACCAGCACUGGCCUAUCAGGCACUGAGCCACAAGUGCCUAUCAGGCACUGAGCCACAAGUGACCUCACAAGCACAAAGAGCAAUAAUGUGUCUCCUUGUUGCCUGUCAUUUACA